UGCUCUGAGGAAAGGUUAUUUAACUCCGGCACCCGAGGAUCAGCUGCACAGCCUCGCGUCUUCUUGGAACAUCCCAGGGCGCUCAGCCCUUAGCAUCCGGUUGAGAUGGGAUGCCACUCUAGCAAGAGCACCAAGGUUGUGGGGGAGUCUCAGGAAUCUGGAGAACAGCCUGCGGGAGAAGAGCCAAACCUGGAGGCUGGCACUGAGGCAGCAGAUGGCAAAGACGCCUCGUUGCAGGAUGGCGCCCCUGAGCGGAAGAGCUGAGAUGCUGUCCUCUGGAGCCAGACCCUCGCCUCGGUCCUGGAACUGCCUUUGGCCAGUGAAACCUGAGACAAGCCCCAGUCUGAGAAGCUCUGAAUAGAGGGAGGAGAGAGACAUCCCCACCUUUGGGAAUCAGGCUUCAGAAGUUACCUUCAUCAGCCUUUGCUCAUUGGAGUUUCCAGGAAGAUGAGGCCGUGAGGAAUCCUGGUUCCCCAGCUCUCCGGUAGAGAGGACAAGAGAAGUCUUCCCACAUCAUGGGCCUUUUCCACAGCUUCUGGAAAUGGAAGAGCCCCAUGACAGACUGUUCUGGUUCUCGUGACUAUCUGCAGCUGAGUUGUGACUGUCCAGGGACCCCCACCUGCCUCACCGUGAACUCUGAAAGCUCUGUGGUCAUGGCGUCCAUUGGGACAAUUCUGCUCUUCUCCCUCCUCCCUCCUGAUGGAAAUUCAUCCUGCAAAACAGGGCUGUGUCUGAUAAGAAGCUGCUCACACUGUCCACCCUCAGGGCUCCUGGGAACAGUUCUCAGCUGGUGAUGAGGCAUUGAGGCAGGGUGCCGCUUAUUGCACCAGCCCCUGAGAGGCGGAACUCACAGCUUCCUACCAAAUCAAAAGAAGAAGGCUCCAGGUCCUUUCAAGUUCAGAAACAGAGGGGUUUGUUUCACUUCCUUCUGGGAGAGUGCAAAGUGCUCAUUUAAUUAAAUUCAAGAUCUCUGAGGGCUUUUAAAAACAGGAUUCUUCAUCCACCUCCAGCUGUGGCAAGCAUGUUGCAAUUUGCCAGGAAGUUAAUCUGUCUCAGGAAAAAGCACCCAGUUUCUGUCGAAGGACAUUCCAAUUGUUCCACUGGGGCCCCGUAUCAUUCAUCUGUCUCCCUCUGAGGCUCAAGUGCCUGGUGAAAGUGGUUAG
rnacentral:lncRNA from 1 species